GAUGAACGCUGGCGGCGUGCCUAAUACAUGCAAGUCGAGCGAACAGAUGAGAAGCUUGCUUCUCUGAUGUUAGCGGCGGACGGGUGAGUAACACGUGGGUAACCUACCUAUAAGACUGGGAUAACUCCGGGAAACCGGGGCUAAUACCGGAUAAUAUUUUGAACCGCAUGGUUCAAUAGUGAAAGACGGUUUCGGCUGUCACUUAUAGAUGGACCCGCGCCGUAUUAGCUAGUUGGUAAGGUAACGGCUUACCAAGGCGACGAUACGUAGCCGACCUGAGAGGGUGAUCGGCCACACUGGAACUGAGACACGGUCCAGACUCCUACGGGAGGCAGCAGUAGGGAAUCUUCCGCAAUGGGCGAAAGUCUGACGGAGCAACGCCGCGUGAGUGAUGAAGGUCUUCGGAUCGUAAAACUCUGUUGUUAGGGAAGAACAAAUUUGUUAGUAACUGAACAAGUCUUGACGGUACCUAACCAGAAAGCCACGGCUAACUACGUGCCAGCAGCCACGGUAA
rnacentral:rRNA from 1 species